rnacentral:rRNA from 1 species
AUGAACGCUGGCGGCGCGCCUAAUACAUGCAAGUCGAGCGAACAGACGAGGAGCUUGCUCCUCUGACGUUAGCGGCGGACGGGUGAGUAACACGUGGAUAACCUACCUAUAAGACUGGGAUAACUUCGGGAAACCGGAGCUAAUACCGGAUAAUAUAUUGAACCGCAUGGUUCAAUAGUGAAAGACGGUUUUGCUGUCACUUAUAGAUGGAUCCGCGCCGCAUUAGCUAGUUGGUAAGGUAACGGCUUACCAAGGCAACGAUGCGUAGCCGACCUGAGAGGGUGAUCGGCAACACUGGAACUGAGACACGGUCCAGACUCCUACGGGAGGCAGCAGUAGGGAAUCUUCCGCAAUGGGCGAAAGCCUGACGGAGCAACGCCGCGUGAGUGAUGAAGGUCUUCGGAUCGUAAAACUCUGUUAUUAGGGAAGAACAAAUGUGUAAGUAACUAUGCACGUCUUGACGGUACCUAAUCAGAAAGCCACGGCUAACUACGUG